GACGAACGCUGGCGGCGUGCUUAACACAUGCAAGUCGAACGAAGAGCGAUGGAAGCUUGCUUCUAUCAAUCUUAGUGGCGAACGGGUGAGUAACGCGUAAUCAACCUGCCCUUCAGAGGGGGACAACAGUUGGAAACGACUGCUAAUACCGCAUACGAUCUGACCUCGGCAUCGAGGAUAGAUGAAAGGUGGCCUCUACAUGUAAGCUAUCACUGAAGGAGGGGAUUGCGUCUGAUUAGCUAGUUGGAGGGGUAACGGCCCACCAAGGCGAUGAUCAGUAGCCGGUCUGAGAGGAUGAACGGCCACCUUGGGACUGAGACACGGCCCAGACUCCUACGGGAGGCAGCAGUGGGGAAUCUUCCGCAAUGGACGAAAGUCUGACGGAGCAACGCCGCGUGAGUGAUGACGGCCUUCGGGUUGUAAAGCUCUGUUAAUCGGGACGAAAGGCCUUUUUGCGAAUAGUGAGAAGGAUUGACGGUACCGGAAUAGAAAGCCACGGCUAACUACGUG
rnacentral:rRNA from 1 species